UACGUAGGGUGCAAGCGUUAAUCGGAAUGACUGGGCGUAAAGGGUGUGCAGGCGGUCUGCUAAGACAGAGGUGGAAUCCCCGGGCUUAACCUGGGAAUGGCCUAUGUGACUGGCAGGCUAGAGGAUGGCAGAGGGAGGCGGAAUUCCACGUGUAGCAGUGAAAUGCGUAGAGAUGUGGAGGAACACCGAUGGCGUAGGCAGCCUCCUGGGCCAAUCCUGACGCUGAAGCACGAAAGCGUGGGGAUCAAACAGG
rnacentral:rRNA from 1 species